UAGUUGUGGUCGCUCUUGUGGCGGCCGCCGCUGCCCGCCCCGACCAUGCUCCAGCUCCUGCCCCCACCUACGGUGCCCCGCCCCCACCACCACCACCUCCACCACCACCUCCCCCAGUCUACGGACCUCCAAGCCCCCCACCUGAGGCACCUGCAAAGUACUCCUUCAGCUGGAAGGUGAAGGACGACGCCUCCGGCAACGACUUCGGCCACGACGAGACCCGUGAUGGUCCCCACACGGAGGGCGUCUACUACGUCCUGCUUCCCGACGGUCGAGUACAGAAGGUUGUUUACACUGUCGACGGUGAAGGCGGUUAUGUUCCCGUUGUGACCUACGAGGGUGAGGCCAAGCCCCCGACACCCGUCUACACUCCACCUCCUGUCUACACUCCACCUCCCCCCACCACCCCUGCUCCUGUCUACACUCCUCCUCCAGUGUACGGCUAGGCGAGGCUCUUUUACCUCCUGGCUCCACUCUAUGGCUUGUUCAGUCCUCCAAACUCUGUUUAAACCUCCAGCCCUUGUCAUCAUCUCACUUUGACUAAAUCAAAAUAUAUAUAUUCGAGUGUGACUAUAUUUAUUUUAAAUGCUAUAAGGAAAAAUAAAUGAAUAUAAAAAACAA